UACGUAGGUGGCAAGCGUUGUCCGGAUUUACUGGGCGUAAAGCGAACGCAGGCGGACCUUUAAGUAGGAAGUGAAAGGUUGGAGCUCAACUCUAACACUGCUCCCUAUACUGGAGGUCUCGAGUGCCGGAGAGGAAGACGGAACAAGUUGUGUAGCGGUGAAAUGCGUUGAUAUAACUUGGAACACCAAUGGCGAAAGCAGUCUUCUGGACGGAUACUGACGCUCAGGUUCGAAAGCCAAGGUAGCAAACAGG
rnacentral:rRNA from 1 species